rnacentral:rRNA from 1 species
UGUCCUACGGGAGGCAGCAGUGGGGAAUAUUGCACAAUGGGGGAAACCCUGAUGCAGCAACGCCGCGUGAGUGAAGAAGGUUUUCGGAUUGUAAAGCUCUGUUAGCAGGGAAGAGGAAGGACGGUACCUGCAGAGGAAGCCCCGGCUAACUACGUGCCAGCAGCCGCGGUAAUACGUAGGGGGCAAGCGUUAUCCGGAUUUACUGGGUGUAAAGGGAGCGUAGGCGGUGCAGUAAGUCAGAAGUGAAAGCCCGGGGCUCAACUCCGGGACUGCUUUUGAAACUGUUGAACUAGAUUGCAGGAGAG